GACGAACCGUGCGAACGUUGUUCGGAAUCACUGGGCUUAAAGGGCGCGUAGGCGGCUUGCCAAGUCCGGGGUGAAAGCCUCCAGCUUAACUGGAGAAGUGCCUUGGAUACUGGUGAGCUAGAGCGAGAUAGGGGUCGUGGGAACUUCCGGUGGAGCGGUGAAAUGCGUUGAUAUCGGAAGGAACGCCGGUGGCGAAAGCGCACGACUGGAUCUCUUCUGACGCUGAGGCGCGAAAGCCAGGGGAGCAAACGGG
rnacentral:rRNA from 1 species